rnacentral:misc_RNA from 1 species
UACGGAGGGUGCAAGCGUUACUCGGAAUUACUGGGCGUAAAGCGCGCGUAGGUGGCUUGUUAAGCCUGUCGUGAAAGCCCCGGGCUCAACCUGGGAACGGCAUCCGGAACUGUCCAGCUAGAGUGCAGGAGAGGAAGGUAGAAUUCCCGGUGUAGCGGUGAAAUGCGUAGGGAUCGGGAGGAAUGCCAGUGGCGAAGGCGGCCUUCUGGACUGAUACUGACACUGAGGUGCGAAAGCGUGGGUAGCAAGCAGG